rnacentral:rRNA from 1 species
UAGGGAAUCUUCCACAAUGGACGAAAGUCUGAUGGAGCAACGCCGCGUGAGUGAAGAAGGGUUUCGGCUCGUAAAACUCUGUUGUUAAAGAAGAACAUAUCUGAGAGUAACUGUUCAGGUAUUGACGUAUUAACCAGAAAGCCACGGCUAACCACGUGCCAG